CGAAAACUUUACAAUGCUGGCAACAGCGAUAAGGGAACCUCGAGUGCCAGGUUACAAAUCUGGCUGUCGAGAUGCCUAAAAAGCAUUUCAUAGCAAGGGCCGGGCAAGACCGGUGCCAGCCGCCGCGGUAACACCGGCGGCUCGAGUGGUAACCGUUAUUAUUGGGUCUAAAGGGUCUGUAGCCGGCCGGAUAAGUCUCUUGAGAAAUCUGGCAGCUUAACUGUCAGGCUUUCAGGAGAUACUGUCUGGCUCGAGGCCGGGAGAGGUGAGAGGUACUUCAGUGGUAGGGGUGAAAUCUUGUAAUCCUUGAAGGACCACCAGUGGCGAAGGCGUCUCACCAGAACGGACCUGACGGCAAGGGACGAAAGCUAGGGGCACGAA
rnacentral:rRNA from 1 species